AGACACAGAAAAUUUAAAAUUUUAAAAUAUGCAAGAGUUCAUAACUCUUGCAUAUUUUAAAAUUUUAAAAUUUAAAAUUUAA
rnacentral:miRNA from 1 species